rnacentral:lncRNA from 1 species
CGCAAAAAUUGAUUAUAUUUCCUUUUCUGCUUGUCACAUUUCAAUGUUUUUCUAGGUUUUUGAUGCUUAUGUCUGAUGGAUUAUACAAGUCUUUAGAGGGGCAUCUGGUUCCGGUCAAGUCAAUCAAGAGCUUGCCCUAUUGGCUGUUGAACAGUUCCAGAUCCAAUCAACAUUGACGGGUGUUGCCCAAGCGUAGUGGACAAAGUUGUUCGAAUCCAUCAUGAUACCUACAUGACAAAAGCAAGCAAAGGUGAUUUAUUGACCGGCGAAAGAGGGGAUGAUAUUACUCUCUCAUUCGGAAUUUCAACUACCCCAUGCCUCGUUCCUUGACCAGUGGUGGCCCCCAUGUUCGAUUUGAUCCUGUGCCAACAAUAACCAACUACCCCCGGGCUGACCCAGAAUCAGAUGGAGAAGUCACGCUUAGUACAAACAAUACAAGUGUCUCAACGCAAGAUACAACAACCUCCUCAACGACCGAAGAUGGAGAGUCAACACCAAGAUCAAAUAAUGCAGCAGCUGCUAAUCAACGAAUACCUGCGUAUGUUGAUUUCAGUGAUUAUAACCAAAAUGUUGGAAGGCUAAAUUGAUAAUACUUACCUGAAGGUAUUGAUUUUCUUUAAGGUUUAGCAUUGGAAGAGAUCUUUAAAGGAAUUAUUAAUAUAGAAAACUCCCUUAAACAUUUUCCCAACUAAAAAAGACCUGAAUCUAAAUUUGCUUGAUGGCCUAGGUUUCCAAUAAAAUAAUUUUAGACCGGUUUUUUGAGCCAUACCUAUUGGAGAUGAGAAAAUUUUGAAGGUAUAGUGGAAAGUGCAAAAUGAAUGAAUAAUCCAGACCGUAAAGUAACGAAAACACUAUUUAAAUAGAACAUAUGAACAACAUUUAUUUUGAAGCGCCAAGAUGACAGGGCAGCAUAUGUUUGUCAAAGCAAAGCGCUCAGAAUAGAGAGCAGCAUCCGUGUCGAAGAAUCCUCCAUACUAGGCCAUAUAAAUCUUUAUCUUUAUUAAAUUGCACCAAAAAAACACAAACAAGAUCACAAAUUGUAAUAAUAAGGAAAAACUCCCCCUUAGGUUAUCCCGUGUGUUGUGUGGAGCCUCUUUUCCUUUUUUUUAAAAAAAAAUAUGAAUUUCUUUCUUUCACCUUCUUUUUACACUUAUAAACACUGUAGUAAAGCUGCAAAACUUUCAUUUUACAGUUGCAGAGUUUACCGUAUCACAUAAGUGUCCAAAAUGAUAGUUUUCAAACUUGACCCAUUUUAAAAGAUGCAAUCUGAAGUUAUUCGACUCUGCACCCGGUUGAUAGUUCAGAUACCAGGUCAAGUCUUAACGUAAUUCAACCUCCCCCUGUUUCAUAAGUGGUUGAAAUCAUGAAUAUAAUUUUGAAGGUAAUUUUACAUCUGUCAUUUUCAAUGGAGCCCUCUUUUUAACAAACGGAAUAAAGUUAAAUUUGAAUGUGGCUGAAAAAAAAUACCGAGACACUAAGGUUCAGUGUGAUAUAAUUUAAGUUCAAGUACUUCUAACUUCUCAAUAGCGCUGUCAUUAUGAAAAGGCACAACUCCAAACUUUUUAAAAUCAAUUUCUUCCCUUAAUUACUGCCCUGCUACAGAAAAGUACAGCAUAUCAGGGAAGAAUAGAUAUUUACAUUUAUUGUUUUCUUCCAAAUGAUUGUGCCAUUUGGAGGAACAAAAAUUGAAAAAUUGAAGGUUGCCGAUUUUUCUCAAAUUUUAUGUUUUAAUAUAGAAAACUAAGCAACACUGAAACUUGAAAUUUGUGAGCGUAUUCUUCUAAUCUGUUAAUUUUCUACCAUAAUGCCUCCUUUCUUUUCUCCUAAAAAAUCGUUCUUACCUCUGCUCUUUUUAGCAUGUCUUAAUUUUAUUUAUUUGUGACUAGUUUUUAGAAAUAUACUUAUCCCUUUCCUCAAUAGGUCGCGUAGAAAUAAACCAUCUGCAGGGAUUUAUGUUUGCUUUUCGAUGGAAAAUAGGCCGCACUCUGCUGAUUCUUGUGUUAAGUUUUUUGAAAGUUCAACUUCUUUUUAGUUUUUUAAAAGAUUUUCUUUUGUUCGUCUUUGAUUGAUUUUUUUUUUAUCUAUCAUGAGGCUUUUAUAACAUUACUUUUUACUUGUGAUCCAAGCCUACCCUGAAACAACAUUUUUUUUUUCUCAAAUCCUUUUUUUACACCCACCCAAUUAAUAUAUUAUGUUACUAAAUAUCAUCGGUUUUCCAGCUGAAACUGUCAGAUUGAUUUAGUUCAAUUCAAAAUACUGUAUAUAAAUCACCAACGAGACUGGUAACAUCACUGUGGUGAAACGCAUGAUUUGAAACAAUUGUAUUUUUUUAAAUGAUUUUAUUAAUUAUUUUGAAUUUUUUCAUUAUUCUUAGUUUACAAUUCAUAAAUUGUGAACACAUAAGCAAAAAGCAAGAAAAUAACAAACUAAAUGUAUUAAUCGGUCAACGUAACCUACCUAACUAUUUUUCAAUAAAAGAAAAAAACACAAAGAAACGUAGCCGACUGCAUGUAACAAGGUGGUAAAACAGUGCUGACCCAUACUAUUUUGUUUGGAAAACAAGGCCGAUUCAAACAUUUGAGCCUUAAUGAGUACCUGAACAAAACUGAGGGGGAGGAGUGGUCAGCUUACACAGUUUGCAUUGGAAUAUUAAGCUGAGGUCAUGCGAAAGAUCUAUAACAUUUUGGGUCUUUUUAGAUCUCAUCAGUAGAUCACAUUUGUUAGUGAUUCCAAACUUAGCAUCCUGCAAAAUCCAAGACAGCAUGGAAAUGCCGUCAUGAAUAUGACGAGAGGCAUGACACAAAAGUGUGAUCCUUCGCAUCUACGUGAACACUCUUCCCCCUCAGUCUUGUGGUACUCAUCAGAGCUCAAAAUUGUCUACUCUAAUUGAAAUUUGUGAACUUUUUGGCCUUGUUUUCCUCGCUACACAGUUGUUAUUUUUCCAUAGUUACCACAUUUGUAACCGUCCAUUUGAAAAGAGAUUUUAGUAAACAGUGACUGCUGAUUUCAAUCUCAAGCUAUUUUCAGUGAGGGUUUUAAAAUGGACGCAUUUCUGCCGAAUGAACUAUGUGCAUUAUGGCGUGAGCCCUGUUAUGCAAAUAUUCUCAUGGGUCUCAGGGCUCAUGUCUUACUGCACAUAGUUCUGUUUGGCAGAAAUACGUCCAAAUUUGAAACAGUAAUCCGAAAAAGAGUAUUUUUCCAGUUUUACUGUUGAAUAAGUCCUUGCCUGCUCGUGGAAAAAUUUGAUUUCUAGUUCCAUAAAGAAAUUAACUGACAUUUGCUAAUAAUCUCUUGAGGAUAUAAUCUAUAUAAAAUCUUAGUCUCAACUAAUAAUUUCUCAUAUAUUCUGUGAUACGAAGAAUUAAGUGCUGAUUGUAAAUAUUCGUACUCGAGUUUUUUACUUGUUCUCUGUUUUUUAUUUUUACCACUUACAGGAAUGGUAGAGGAGAGGUCUCUGGUUAUUUGUUAUAUUUAGUGAAAAGGCAAUAAAAGUGUGAAAUAUUUUUUAAUUAACUGUUCGUUAUUUUUACCCUCUAAUAUGGCCUCCAAAUAGUCAAGGUUGGGUAUAAAAGGUCGAGGCAAUCAGCUAGUUUGAGAGCUAUGCUGCCGUGGCUAAGGAAAAACGCCGGAAAUGAACAUUAGAGAGUUGCCAAAUUUCCCUCGAUAAAACAUGUAUUUUUGACAACAUUCAUGCAUAUUUUUCCUUGCAAUUUUCAGAUAUUUUAGAAUGAAUUGCCAACAAAAUUGUCUGAAAAUUUUGAAAAUAAUAUUCACAAUUUUCCCAGUAAAUUCGGUUUUUAUUGGAGGAAACUUGGCAACGUCUGAAGGCUUAUACGACGUUUCUUCCUUAGCACGGCAGUAGUUUGACAGUAGAACUCGUUAAUCAUAACGAGGGAAGGAGCAGGAGAACUUUAGUUGGACUGCAUUUGCAAUUUGGAACUAUAAAUUCUGGCUCAUCUGAAAAAACACUUAUGUGCAUGGGGAAUCAAUGGCUUUUACGUUGUUAUUAAACGGGUCGGA